rnacentral:rRNA from 1 species
UGACUGCCGGUGACAAACCGGAGGAAGGUGGGGAUGACGUCAAAUCAUCAUGCCCCUUAUGACCUGGGCUACACACGUGCUACAAUGGACGGUACAAAGAGCUGCAAGACCGCGAGGUGGAGCUAAUCUCAUAAAACCGUUCUCAGUUCGGAUUGUAGGCUGCAACUCGCCUACAUGAAGCUGGAAUCGCUAGUAAUCGCGGAUCAGCAUGCCGCGGUGAAUACGUUCCCGGGCCUUGUACACACCGCCCGUCACACCACGAGAGUUUGUAACACCCGAAGUCGGUGGGGUAACCUUUU